UACGUAGGGUGCAAGCGUUGUCCGGAAUUAUUGGGCGUAAAGAGCUCGUAGGCGGUCCGUCACGUCGGCUGUGAAAACCCGGGGCUCAACCCCGGGCCUGCAGUCGAUACGGGCGGACUAGAGUUCGGCAGGGGAGACUGGAAUUCCUGGUGUAGCGGUGAAAUGCGCAGAUAUCAGGAGGAACACCGGUGGCGAAGGCGGGUCUCUGGGCAACAACUGACGCUGAGGAGCGAAAGCGUGGGGAGCGAACAGG
rnacentral:rRNA from 1 species